rnacentral:rRNA from 1 species
AAACUUAAAGGAAUUGAGGGACCCCGCGCAAGCAGCGGAGCGUGUGGUUUAAUUUCGAGGCUACACGAAGAACCUUACCAGGGUUUGACAUGCAAGUGGUAGGAAUCCGAAAGGUGACGACCUUCGGGAGCUUGCACAGGUGCUGCAUGGCUGUCGUCAGCUCGUGUCGUGAGAUGUUCGGUUAAGUCCGCUAACGGGCGCAACCCUCGUCGUGUGUUAUACGUGUCACACGAUACUGCCGGUAUCAAGCCGGGGAAGGUGGGGAUGAUGUCAAGUCAGCAUGGCCUUUAUAUCCUGGGCUACACACACGCUACAAUGGCAGAUACAAUAGGUUGCGAAACCGCGAGGUGGAGCCAAUCCUCAAAGUCUGUCUCAGUUCAGAUUGUAGGCUGCAACUCGCCUGCAUGAAGUUGGAGUUGCUAGUAAACGCAGGUCAGCUAUACUGCGUUGAAUACGUUCCCGGGGUUU